GAUGAAGAACGUAGCGAAAUGCGAUAAGUAAUGUGAAUUGCAGAAUUCAGUGAAUCAUCGAAUCUUUGAACGCACAUUGCGCCCGCCAGUAUUCUGGCGGGCAUGCCUGUCUGAGCGUCAUUUCAACCCUCAUGCCCCUAGGGCGUGGUGUUGGGGAUCGGCCAAAGCCCGCGAGGGACGGCCGGCCCCUAAAUCUAGUGGCGGACCCGUCGUGGCCUCCUCUGCGAAGUAGUGAUAUUCCGCAUCGGAGAGCGACGAGCCCCUGCCGUUAAACCCCCAACUUUCCAAGGUUGACCUCAGAUCAGGUAGGAAUACCCGCUGAACUUAAGCAUAUCAAUAACGGAGGA
rnacentral:misc_RNA from 1 species